UACAGAGGGUGCAAGCGUUGUUCGGAAUUAUUGGGCGUAAAGGGCGCGUAGGCGGUUCGGCAAGUCUCUAGUGAAAUCUCUGGGCUCAACUCAGAGUCUGCUGGGGGAAACUGCCGGGCUUGAGUGUGGGAGAGGAGAGUGGAAUUCCCGGUGUAGCGGUGAAAUGCGUAGAUAUCGGGAAGAACACCCGUGGCGAAGGCGGCACUCUGGGACGGUACUGACGCUGAGACGGCGGAAAAGCGUGGGGAGCGAACAGG
rnacentral:rRNA from 1 species